GGUCUGGUGGUGUAGCGAUUACACGUCCUCCUACAUUGCGGAGUAGAAACAUGAUUGGUUCUGAGGAAGUUCCCCGUUCGACUCGGGGUCAGAUCA